UACGAAGGGGGCUAGCGUUGCUCGGAAUUACUGGGCGUAAAGCGCACGUAGGCGGUCUUUUAAGUCGGGGGUGAAAUCCUGGAGCUCAACUCCAGAACUGCCUUCGAUACUGGAAGACUUGAGUCCGGGAGAGGUGAGUGGAACUGCGAGUGUAGAGGUGAAAUUCGUAGAUAUUCGGAAGAACACCAGUGGCGAAGGCGACUACUUGGACACAUAUUGACGCUGAGGUGCGAAAGCGUGGGAGCAAACAG
rnacentral:rRNA from 1 species